AGCGAACGCUGGCGGCAGGCCUAACACAUGCAAGUCGAACGGAUCCUUCGGGAUUAGUGGCGGACGGGUGAGUAACACGUGGGAACGUGCCUUUUGGCUCGGAACAACUCAGGGAAACUUGAGCUAAUACCGGAUGUGCCCUUCGGGGGAAAGAUUUAUCGCCAUUAGAGCGGCCCGCGUCUGAUUAGCUUGUUGGUGAGGUAAAGGCUCACCAAGGCUACGAUCAGUAGCUGGUCUGAGAGGAUGAUCAGCCACACUGGGACUGAGACACGGCCCAGACUCCUACGGGAGGCAGCAGUGGGGAAUCUUGCGCAAUGGGCGAAAGCCUGACGCAGCCAUGCCGCGUGAAUGAUGAAGGUCUUAGGAUUGUAAAAUUCUUUCACCGGGGACGAUAAUGACGGUACCCGGAGAAGAAGCCCCGGCUAACUUCGUGCCAGCCGCCGCCGUAAGAC
rnacentral:rRNA from 1 species